CUGGCGCGAGCCCCCGGCUCUGCGGCGGCGGCCUGUAUGCUUGUGCAGCCGACGUCGUCGGGAGCUGGUCCCCGGUCCGGGAAAUGCCCGGGUUCCAGGCGGCGGGAGAGCAGGUACUGAAAGUGUAACUGCUAUAACGGGGAGCACCGCCCCCAAGUGUUGUCUGUAAAAAGGAGCCCGUGUCCUUGGGAGCAUUGGUCAUAGUCCUUUGGGAACAAGAAUGGGAAUGGAUCCUGCUGGGGACUGGAGAUGUCAAGAAGAAGAGAAGAACCAGGAUAGUGCCAUAUUGUGGACAUUACAAGGGAAGAGCUUUUCAAGAAAUCAGGAGUUUGGGAGCCUGGCUCUGAUUCUGAGCACAGUCUGACCUGCUCUGCUACCCGUGGGCCCUAGACAGGCUGACCAGUCACUGUGGCUAUCCAGCCGUAUCCCCCGUACCUAGAACACUGGAAGGUGCUCGGUAAAUAUUUGCAGGAAUUUCUUCAUAACAUUUCUUUUCUCUUGGGACGCCUGGG